UUUAAUUUCAUUCAUUGGUUUCUCUUUCCAAAACUAAUUUAUCUAGCACAAUGCAUGACCUAGGGCAAAAUCUUUCCCAAUUUUCAUCAAUGGCGGAGAAGAGCUUCAAAUACGUGAUCCUCGGUGGCAGAGUCGUAGCCGGAUAUGCAGCUAGGGAGUUUGCCAAACAGGGGGUUAAGCCAGGCAAGCUGCGAUCAUUUCCAAAGAGGCGAAUUAGGGUUUAAUCUUCUCGAUAUGGUCUGCGGAGGACACAAAACGGGCACUUGUGAGCAAAUUCCUUGAAUAUGAUCUUCUACUUGAAUUGUUGGGAAUCCCAUUUAAUGAAAUCACCAUAAAUCGCACUGUGGAGAGUAGGCCAUACCUGGUAUAACUAAAGCUCCUGGGUCCAUGGGCACUGACUGGUAAUAAAGAUUGGCAACCCUUUUAAUUGCUUUGAAAAACUGGGCAGAUGUGAAUUAUUAUAUACUUUGGUAAGUGAUUGCUUUAACAUAUUAAUUUGUCUGCCAUUUUUCUAUUAUUUUUAAGAUACUCUUCUUAUUGCCUUUAAAGUAAUUUUUAACUAAAUAUUAUGCCUCUGUUUGUAGAUUUGAGGCUUAGUAUAGCCUGUAGUUCUUUUGAUUGGGUAACUGCAAGUUAUAUAUAUAUUAUAUAUAUAUAUAUAUACUCCAUUGCAUCACCCAUUUACAUGUUGGUAGUGCCUUGGUAUCUUUUUAAUAAAAAAUAAAAAUGUACUUUUACUAUUCUUUUCUCUUUUUUAUUUUUAUAGAAGUACAAUAAAGUUCGCUUAGAAUUUCCCAAUUUUAAUUUCAAUGUAUCCUAUCAUGGCAACUUUGUGGCUAUAGCAUCUGAUCCUCUGGGACUUGUAAAUUUGGAUAUUGUCUCUUGUGUCAUUUCCUUGAAGGAGACAGUUUAAGACUUCAUUAAAAACUUGUCGUCAUAUUUUUUAUAUUUGGAAUUGGAUAAUAUAGUUAAUAAUGGCUCAUCUAAUGAUAUUUUGGUCGAGUUUUACAGGUAUGGUUAUGGUGAGUCCUAUACAAACUCAUUUUGAAUUUUCACUUCAGUUUACAUAUAACUAUGGGCAUUUUCCUUCAGUAUUUCACAAACAUAAACAUCGAUUGUAACCUUGAGUAUUUUCUUUUUUUU